rnacentral:lncRNA from 1 species
UUUGUUUAUUUUUUAUAUUAUAUCUUAUUUAAUUUAGGUAUUCUAAAUUAUUUGAGUUUUAUUUUAGAUAUUAUAUUAUAUUAUUUUGUUUUUGUUAGAUGUAAUUUCAUUUUCAACGCUUAGUAUAGUCUUCUAGCUUAGCCUACGUUGCAUUUUAGUUUUAGUGUAUAUAAACAAUUGUGUAACAGUUAUUCAUAAUCAAUCCAUAACAAAAUUUUGGAAUUAUUUUCUGUUAGAGUUUGUUAGAACCCCU